AAGAGGGCGGGAGAGACAGUGACGAAGAGCAAGAGAGAGAUAAGAAACACACAUACAGAGACAGAGAGACCUAGUGCCAAAUGUCUCAGGAUGCAAAGAGGACCCUUCUGCGAAUCCAGAUGGUCCUGGGGGAAAUGCAGAGUAAAGAAGGAAGAAAUGAACUACCUGGAUAAUUCAAGUAAAGGUCCCAAUGUGAUCUUAAAAUCUG
rnacentral:lncRNA from 1 species